rnacentral:tRNA from 1 species
UAGGUCUUAUAUUCAUUUAAAAUGAUUUUAAAUUGCAAAUUUAAAGGUGAAGUAUUUCUAAGACUU